AACGUAGGAGGCAAGCGUUAUCCGGAUUUACUGGGCGUAAAGGGCGUGCAGGUGGUGGUCUAAGUGGUGCGUGAAAGCGCUCGGCUCAACCGGGCGAGGGCGUGCCAAACUGGGUCACUAGAAACAGGCAGAGGAAAGUGGAAUUCGGGGUGUAGUGGUGAAAUGCGUAGAGAUCCCGAGGAACUCCUGUGGCGAAGGCGACUUUCUGGGCCUGUUCUUGACGCUGAGGCGCGAAAGCUAGGGGAGCAAACGGG
rnacentral:rRNA from 1 species